GACGAACGCUGGCGGCGUGCUUAACACAUGCAAAUCGAACGGAAAGGCCCUGCUUUUGUGGGGUGCUCGAGUGGCGAACGGGUGAGUAACACGUGAGUAACCUGCCCUUGACUUUGGGAUAACUUCAGGAAACUGGGGCUAAUACCGGAUAGGAGCUCCUGCUGCAUGGUGGGGGUUGGAAAGUUUCGGCGGUUGGGGAUGGACUCGCGGCUUAUCAGCUUGUUGGUGGGGUAGUGGCUUACCAAGGCUUUGACGGGUAGCCGGCCUGAGAGGGUGACCGGCCACAUUGGGACUGAGAUACGGCCCAGACUCCUACGGGAGGCAGCAGUGGGGAAUAUUGCACAAUGGGCGGAAGCCUGAUGCAGCAACGCCGCGUGCGGGAUGACGGCCUUCGGGUUGUAAACCGCUUUCGCCUGUGACGAAGCGUGAGUGACGGUAAUGGGUAAAGAAGCAGCGGCUAACUACGUG
rnacentral:rRNA from 1 species